rnacentral:rRNA from 1 species
GAACGGGACUCUCGUCUUCGGGCGGGGGUCGAGUGGCGGACGGGUGAGUAACACGUGGAUGACGUGCCCUGGUGUGGGGGAUACCCUUCAGAAAUGAGGGCUAAUACCGCAUACGAUGCUCGGGGUCAGGCCUGAGCAGGAAAGCUUUUCGGGUGAUACCGAGAGGCGCAGCAGGAGCGGUCCGCGGCCGAUUAGCUAGUUGGUGGGGUAAGAGCUCACCAAGGCGACGAUCGGUAGCUGGUCUGAGAGGGCGCACGGACACACUGGAACUGAAACACGGUCCAGACUCCUACGGGAGGCAGCAGUGGGGAAUUUUGCGCAAUGGGGGAAACCCUGACGCAGCAACGCCGCGUGGAGGAUGAAGCCCUUUGGGGCGUAAACUCCUUUCGACCGGGACGAUAAUGACGGUACCGGUGGAAGAAGCCCCGGCUAACUUCGUG